GACACAACGCUGCAUAUAUGGGCCGUUGUAACUACAGCUAAUGACAGUAUGGAAUGCAAAGUAGACAAGAAAGAAUAUAUAAACACUACGGAUGUUUAUUUCAGCAGAAAAUACCGGACACGUACUGCAACGUUCUUUACGACACUACAUGGAAAAUUUGAACUACCUAGUGCAAUGAAUGUCGGGCCCAAAGGUGGAGCAGCUAAUAGCCGAGAAGAAUUAAUAUAUCAAGGACAAAGAAGCAGCUGUGGAGUUUUCGGGCUUGGCGACAUAAAAAAUGGCACGCAAUACCAUGCGUACGACAUAAGAGUCCCAGGCUAUGGCGGAGUAGUAUCGGCUGAACCAUGCCUGACGUGGUUCAACGUGACGUACCCAGAAGAAAAAUUUAGAAGGCUUUUGUACAAAAGCAGUUGCAAAUCUUUAGCAAGAAUCCGUUGGUAUGGAUAACCAGUGAACCAAAGU